rnacentral:rRNA from 1 species
CCUACGGGAGGCUGCAGUGGGGAAUAUUGGACAAUGGGCGAAAGCCUGAUCCAGCCAUGCCGCGUGUGUGAAGAAGGCCUUCGGGUUGUAAAGCACUUUCAGUGGGGAAGAAAGCCUUGGGGCUAAUACCCUCGAGGAAGGACAUCACCCACAGAAGAAGCACCGGCUAACUCCGUGCCAGCAGCCGCGGUAAUACGGAGGGUGCGAGCGUUAAUCGGAAUUACUGGGCGUAAAGCGCGCGUAGGCGGUCUGAUAAGCCGGUUGUGAAAGCCCCGGGCUCAACCUGGGAACGGCAUCCGGAACUGUCAGGAUAGAGUGCAGGAGAGGAAGGUAGAAUUCCCGGUGUAGCGGUGAAAGGCGUAGAGAUCGGGAGGAAUACCAGUGGCGAAGGCGGCCUUCUGGACUGACACUGACGCUGAGGUGCGAAAGCGUGGGUAGCAAACAGGAUUAGAUACCCUAGUAGUC